GGGAAGUGUGCACAUGGAGUGAGCCUCAGCUGUACAGAGGCAGAAUGGCAGGUGAAUCAGCACUGGUUCCCCUUCCUGCUCCUCCUCGAGAUGCUUGGGUGCUCUUCUCUCACAUUAAACACCAGCAGUGGCGUCUUCCUGCAGCGGCUUGUGAAGUUCUGGAUCCUCCACCGACUGCAAAACCACAACCAAUCAUGAACACACAGCGCAGCUCUCUGAAACUCUCUCAUGAUCACAGUGGAUUUGACUGAUUGAUUGUUGUAUUAGUGCUGAUGAUACACUACCUUUACA